UCGGACUGCUGGACACGCUGGAGAGAUCCUGAGGGACAGACGGACACCGGGAUCAGCCGGGGGAUUUGGGGAAAAAUCUGGGAAUUCUGGGAUUUGGGAAAAAAAUCUGGGAAUUCUGGGAUUUGGGAAGUUUGGGAAUGAAAAUCUGAUAAUUCUGGGAUUUUUAUUGGGAAAGGAAAUCUGAUAAUUCUGGGAUUUCUAGGAUUUAGGAAUGAAAAUCUGAUCAUUCUGGAGAUGCUGGAGAGAUCCUGAGGGACAGACGGACACCGGGAUCAGUCUGGGAAUUUGGGAUUUGGGGAAAAAAUCUGGGAAUUUUGGGAUUUGGGGAAAAAAAUCUGGGAAUUUGGGGAAGAAAAUCUGAUAAUUCUGGGAUUUGUGAGGUUGGAAAAGGAAAUCUGAUCAUUCUGGAGAUGCUGGAGAGAUCCUGAGGGACAGACGGACACCGGGAUCAGCCGGGGGAUUGGGGAAAAAAUCUGGGAAUUUUCCAAAGCUCCCAUCCCAAAAAUCCAUUUCUGGAGAUUUUUUGGCCAUUUUCGCCCAUUUUCAGACAUUUUUUGACCAUUUUUGUCCAUUUUUAGGCAUUUUUUGUCAAUUUUAGGCCAUUUUUAGUCAAUUUUAGGCCAUUUUUAGCCAUUUUUUGUCCAUUUUCACCCAUUUUUGUCCAUUUUUGUCCAUUUUUAGCCAUUUCUCGACCAUUUUUUCUCCAUUUUCACCCAUUUUUGUCCAUUUUUGUCCAUUUUCACCCAUUUUUGUCCAUUUUUAGCCAUUUCUCCACCAUUUUUCUCCAUUUCCACCCAUUUUUCUCCAUUUUCCUCCAUUUCCACCCAUUUUUCUCCAUUUUUCCUCCAUUUCCACCCAUUUUUGUCCAUUUUUCGACCAUUUCCACCCAUUUUUCUCCAUUUUUCCUCCAUUUCCACCCAUUUUUCUCCAUUUUCCUCCAUUUCCACCCAUUUUUUCUCCAUUUUCACCCAUUUUCAGCCAUUUCUCAACCAUUUUUUCUCCAUUUUCACCCAUUUUUGUCCAUUUUUCUCCAUUUUCACCCAUUUUCAGCCAUUUCUCAACCAUUUUUUGUCCAUUUUUCUCCAUUUUCCUCCAUUUCCACCCAUUUUUCUCCAUUUUUCCUCCAUUUCCACCCAUUUUUCUCCAUUUUUCCUCCAUUUCCACCCAUUUUUGUCCAUUUUUCCUCCAUUUCCACCCAUUUUUCUCCAUUUUCACCCAUUUUUGUCCAUUUUUGUCCAUUUUUGUCCAUUUUUAGACCAUUUUUCUCCAUUUUUCUCCAUUUUUGUCCAUUUUUUCUCCAUUUUCACCCAUUUUCAGCCAUUUCUCAACCAUUUUUUGUCCAUUUUUCUCCAUUUUUUCUCCAUUUCCACCCAUUUUUGUCCAUUUUUUCUCCAUUUUCACCCAUUUUUGUCCAUUUUUGUCCAUUUUUAGCCAUUUCUCCACCAUUUUUCUCCAUUUCCACCCAUUUUUCUCCAUUUUCCUCCAUUUCCACCCAUUUUUGUCCAUUUUUCCUCCAUUUCCACCCAUUUUUGUCCAUUUUUUCUCCAUUUUCACCCAUUUUUGUCCAUUUUUCUCCAUUUUCACCCAUUUUCAGCCAUUUCUCAACCAUUUUUUGUCCAUUUUUCUCCAUUUUCCUCCAUUUCCACCCAUUUUUCUCCAUUUUUCCUCCAUUUCCACCCAUUUUUCUCCAUUUUUCCUCCAUUUCCACCCAUUUUUGUCCAUUUUUCCUCCAUUUCCACCCAUUUUUCUCCAUUUUCACCCAUUUUUGUCCAUUUUUGUCCAUUUUUGUCCAUUUUUAGACCAUUUUUCUCCAUUUUUCUCCAUUUUUGUCCAUUUUUUCUCCAUUUUCACCCAUUUUCAGCCAUUUCUCAACCAUUUUUUGUCCAUUUUUCUCCAUUUUUUCUCCAUUUCCACCCAUUUUUGUCCAUUUUUAGCCAUUUCUCCACCAUUUUUCUCCAUUUCCACCCAUUUUUGUCCAUUUUUCCUCCAUUUUCACCCAUUUUUGUCCAUUUUUUCUCCAUUUUCACCCAUUUUUGUCCAUUUUCACCCAUUUUUGUCCAUUUUUUCUCCAUUUCCACCCAUUUUUGUCCAUUUUUUCUCCAUUUUCACCCAUUUUCAGCCAUUUCUCAACCAUUUUUCUCCAUUUUUCUCCAUUUCCCCCCAUUCCCCCCAC
rnacentral:lncRNA from 1 species